rnacentral:rRNA from 1 species
GAUGAACGCUGGCGGCGUGCUUAACACAUGCAAGUCGAACGGAAAGGCUCCUGCUUGCAGGGGUACUCGAGUGGCGAACGGGUGAGUAACACGUGGGUGAUCUGCCCUGCACUUCGGGAUAAGCCUGGGAAACUGGGUCUAAUACCGGAUAGGACGAUGGUUUGGAUGCCAUUGUGGAAAGUUUUUCGGUGUGGGAUGAGCUCGCGGCCUAUCAGCUUGUUGGUGGGGUAAUGGCUACCAAGGCGUCGACGGGUAGCCGGCCUGAGAGGGGGGACGGCCACAUUGGGACUGAGAUACGGCCCAGACUCCUACGGGAGGCAGCAGUGGGGAAUAUUGCACAAUGGGCGCAAGCCUGAUGCAGCGACGCCGCGUGGGGGAUGACGGCCUUCGGGUUGUAAACUCCUUUCGCUAGGGACGAAGCGCAAGUGACGGUACCUGGAGAAGAAGCACCGGCUAACUACGUG